rnacentral:rRNA from 1 species
UGGGGAAUAUUGCACAAUGGGCGGAAGCCUGAUGCAGCAACGCCGCGUGCGGGAUGACGGCCUUCGGGUUGUAAACCGCUUUCGCCUGUGACGAAGCGUGAGUGACGGUAAUGGGUAAAGAAGCACCGGCUAACUACGUGCCAGCAGCCGCGGUGAUACGUAGGGUGCGAGCGUUGUCCGGAUUUAUUGGGCGUAAAGGGCUCGUAGGUGGUUGAUCGCGUCGGAAGUGUAAUCUUGGGGCUUAACCCUGAGCGCGCUUUCGAUACGGGUUGACUUGAGGAAGGUAGGGGAGAAUGGAAUUCCUGGUGGAGCGGUGGAAUGCGCAGAUAUCGGGAGGAACACCAGUGGCGAAGGCGGUUCUCUGGGCCUUUCCUGACGCUGAGGAGCGAAAGCGUGGGGAGCGAACAGGCUUAGAUACCCUGGUAGUCCACGCCGUAAACGGUGGGUACUAGGUGUGGGGUCCAUUCCACGGGUUCCGUGCCGUAGCUAACGCUUUAAGUACCCCGCCUGGGGAGUACGGCCGCAAGGCUA